UUGGCUUAGAAGCAGCCAUCAUUUAAAGAAAGCGUAAUAGCUCACUGGUCGAGUCGGCCUGCGCGGAAGAUGUAACGGGGCUAAACUAUACACCGAAGCUGCGGCAAUACAGUUUACUGUAUUGGGUAGGGGAGCGUUCUGUAAGCGGUUGAAGGUGCGUUGUAAAGCGUGCUGGACGUAUCAGAAGUGCGAAUGCUGACAUGAGUAACGAUAAAGCGGGUGAAAAACCCGCUCGCCGGAAGACCAAGGGUUCCUGUCCAACGUUAAUCGGGGCAGGGUAAGUCGACCCCUAAGGCGAGGCCGAAAGGCGUAGUCGAUGGGAAACGGGUUAAUAUUCCCGUACUUCUUACAAUUGCGAUGGGGGGACGGAGAAGGCUAGGUGGGCUUGGCGACGGUCGUCCAAGUUCAAGUAUGUAGGCUGUAUUCUUAGGCAAAUCCGGGAUUACACUAGGCUGAGAUACGAUGUCGAGCUACUACGGUAGUGAAGCCAUUGAUGCCAUGCUUCCAGGAAAAGCCUCUAAGCUUCAGAUUGUAAGGAAUCGUACCCCAAACCGACACAGGUGGUCGAGUAGAGAAUACUAAGGCGCUUGAGAGAACUCGGGUGAAGGAACUAGGCAAAAUGGUACCGUAACUUCGGGAGAAGGUACGCUCCUAGCGGUGAUGAGACUUGCUCUCUAAGCUGCCGGGAGUCGCAGAUACCAGGUGGCUGCAACUGUUUAUUAAAAACAUAGCACUGUGCUAAAUCGUAAGAUGACGUAUACGGUGUGACGCCUGCCCGGUGCUUGAAGGUUAAUUGAUGGGGUUAGACUUCGGUCGAAGCUCUUGAUCGAAGCCCAAGUAAACGGCGGCCGUAACUAUAACGGUCCUAAGGUAGCGAAAUUCCUUGUCGGGUAAGUUCCGACCUGCACGAAUGGCGUAAUGAUGGCCACGCUGUCUCCACCCGAGACUCAGUGAAAUUGAAAUCGCUGUGAAGAUGCAGUGUACCCGCGGCUAGACGGAAAGACCCCGUGAACCUUUACUACAGCUUGGCACUGAACAUUGACCCUACAUGUGUAGGAUAGGUGGGAGCCUUUGAAGCAAGUACGCCAGUAUUUGUGGAGGCAAUCUUGAAAUACCACCCUUGUAUGCUUGAUGUUCUAACGUUGGUCCCUUAUCGGGAUUGCGGACAGUGCCUGGUGGGUAGUUUGACUGGGGCGGUCUCCUCCCAAAGAGUAACGGAGGAGCACGAAGGUGGGCUAAUCACGGUUGGACAUCGUGAGGUUAGUGCAAUGGCAUAAGCCCGCUUGACUGCGAGAAUGACAAUUCGAGCAGGUGCGAAAGCAGGUCAUAGUGAUCCGGUGGUUCUGAAUGGAAGGGCCAUCGCUCAACGGAUAAAAGGUACUCCGGGGAUAACAGGCUGAUACCGCCCAAGAGUUCAUAUCGACGGCGGUGUUUGGCACCUCGAUGUCGGCUCAUCACAUCCUGGGGCUGAAGUCGGUCCCAAGGGUAUGGCUGUUCGCCAUUUAAAGUGGUACGCGAGCUGGGUUUAGAACGUCGUGAGACAGUUCGGUCCCUAUCUGCCGUGGGCGUUGGAUGAUUGAAGGGGGCUGCUCCUAGUACGAGAGGACCGGAGUGGACGAACCUCUGGUGUUCGGGUUGUCACGCCAGUGGCAUUGCCCGGUAGCUAAGUUCGGAAUCGAUAAACGCUGAAAGCAUCUAAGCGUGAAGCGAGCCCUGAGAUGAGUCAUCCCUGAUACUUUAAGUAUCCUAAAGGGUUGUUGGAGACUACGACGUAGAUAGGUC
rnacentral:rRNA from 1 species